UGGCUCAGAACGAACGCUGGCGGCGUGCCUAACACAUGCAAGUCGAGCGCGAAAGGGGCAACCCGAGUAGAGCGGCGCACGGGUGCGUAACACGUGGGUAAUCUGCCCUGGAGACUCGGAUAACCACCCGAAAGGGUGGCUAAUACGGGAUAAGCCCACGGCGUCUUCGGACGCCGAGGGAAAAGGUGGCCUCUACAUGUAAGCUACCACUUCAGGAUGAGCCCGCGGCCCAUCAGCUAGUUGGCGGGGUAAUGGCCCACCAAGGCAACGACGGGUAGCUGGUCUGAGAGGACGAUCAGCCACACUGGAACUGAGACACGGUCCAGACUCCUACGGGAGGCAGCAGUGGGGAAUUUUGCGCAAUGGGCGAAAGCCUGACGCAGCAACGCCGCGUGUGUGAUGAAGGUCUUCGGAUUGUAAAGCACUUUCGACCGGGACGAAAAAGCGGGUGCUAAUCAGCCUGCCUUGACGGUACCGGGAGAAGAAGCACCGGCUAACUCUGUGCCAGCAGCCGCGGUAA
rnacentral:rRNA from 1 species